rnacentral:rRNA from 1 species
CAGUCGCCGCGGGAAUACGAAGGGGGCUAGCGUUGCUCGGAAUCACUGGGCGUAAAGAGUGCGUAGGCGGGUCUUUAAGUCAGGGGUGAAAUCCUGGAGCUCAACUCCAGAACUGCCUUUGAUACUGAAGAUCUUGAGUUCGGGAGAGGUGAGUGGAACUGCGAGUGUAGAGGUGAAAUUCGUAGAUAUUCGCAAGAACACCAGUGGCGAAGGCGGCUCACUGGCCCGAUACUGACGCUGAGGCACGAAAGCGUGGGGAGCAAACAGGAUUAGAUACCCGCGUAGUCCCUGUCUCUUAUAC